CUGUUGGGUAGGGGAGCGUUGUGUAAGCGGAAGAAGGUUCAUUGAGAGGUGGGCUGGACGUAUCACAAGUGCGAAUGCUGACAUAAGUAACGAUAAAACGGGUGAAAAACCCGUUCGCCGGAAGACCAAGGGUUCCUGUCCAACGUUAAUCGGGGCAGGGUGAGUCGGCUCCUAAGGCGAGGCUGAAAAGCGUAGUCGAUGGGAAACAGGUUAAUAUUCCUGUACUUGGUAAAGCUGCGAUGUGGGGACGGAGUAGGUUAGGUUAUCGCACUGUUGGAUAUGUGCGUUUAAGUUGGUAGGUGGGAAGUUUAGGCAAAUCCGGACUUCCUUAACACAGAGAGAUGAUGACGAGGCUCUACGGAGCUGAAGUAACUGAUACCACACUUCCAGGAAAAGCCACUAAGCGAAAGGCUUUACUAAACCGUACUGAAAACCGACACAGGUGGUCAGGUAGAGAAUACUCAGGCGCUUGAGAGAACUCGGGUGAAGGAACUAGGCAAAAUAGCACCGUAACUUCGGGAGAAGGUGCGCCGGCGUAGAUUGUAAGGGCUAGCCCCUGAAGGUUGAACCGGUCGAAGAUACCAGCUGGCUGCAACUGUUUAUUAAAAACACAGCACUCUGCAAACACGAAAGUGGACGUAUAGGGUGUGAUGCCUGCCCGGUGCUGGAAGGUUAAUUGAUGGUGUAAUCGCAAGAGAAGCACCUGAUCGAAGCCCCAGUAAACGGCGGCCGUAACUAUAACGGUCCUAAGGUAGCGAAAUUCCUUGUCGGGUAAGUUCCGACCUGCACGAAUGGCAUAAUGAUGGCCAGGCUGUCUCCACCCGAGACUCAGUGAAAUUGAAAUCGCCGUGAAGAUGCGGUGUACCCGCGGCUAGACGGAAAGACCCCGUGAACCUUUACUAUAGCUUGACACUGAACAUUGAAUUUUGAUGUGUAGGAUAGGUGGGAGCCUUUGAAGCAGUGACGCCAGUCAUUGUGGAGGCGACCUUGAAAUACCACCCUUUAACGUUUGAUGUUCUAACGAAGAUGACGAAACGUGGUCUCGGACAGUGUCUGGUGGGUAGUUUGACUGGGGCGGUCUCCUCCCAAAGCGUAACGGAGGAGCACGAAGGUUUGCUAAUCACGGUCGGACAUCGUGAGGUUAGUGCAAUGGUAUAAGCAAGCUUAACUGCGAGACAGACAAGUCGAGCAGGUACGAAAGUAGGUCAUAGUGAUCCGGUGGUUCUGAAUGGAAGGGCCAUCGCUCAACGGAUAAAAGGUACUCCGGGGAUAACAGGCUGAUACCGCCCAAGAGUUCAUAUCGACGGCGGUGUUUGGCACCUCGAUGUCGGCUCAUCACAUCCUGGGGCUGAAGUAGGUCCCAAGGGUAUGGCUGUUCGCCAUUUAAAGUGGUACGCGAGCUGGGUUUAGAACGUCGUGAGACAGUUCGGUCCCUAUCUGCCGUGGGCGUAGGAGAAUUGGUUGGGGCUGCUCCUAGUACGAGAGGACCGGAGUGGACGCACCACUGGUGUUCCGGUUGUGUCGCCAGACGCAUUGCCGGGUAGCUAAGUGCGGAAGAGAUAAGUGCUGAAAGCAUCUAAGCACGAAACUUGCCAAGAGAUGAGUUCUCCCAAUCUAAGAGAUAGUAAGGGUUGUUGUAGACUACGACGUAGAUAGGUCUGGUGUGUAAGUGUAGUGAUACAUUGAGCUAACAGAUACUAAUUGCCCGAGAGGCUUAACUAUACAACGCUCAAGUGUUUUUGUGAAAGAGCGAAAGAGAAGGCUAGACAAACAAAUCAAAUAAGAAG
rnacentral:rRNA from 1 species